AUUGAACGCUGGCGGCAGGCCUAACACAUGCAAGUCGAGCGGCAGCGGGUCCUUCGGGAUGCCGGCGAGCGGCGGACGGGUGAGCAAUGCCUAGGAAUCUGCCUGGAAGUGGGGGAUAACGUUCGGAAACGGACGCUAAUACCGCAUACGUCCUACGGGAGAAAGUGGGGGAUCUUCGGACCUCACGCUAUCAGAUGAGCCUAGGUCGGAUUAGCUAGUUGGUGGGGUAACGGCUCACCAAGGCGACGAUCCGUAACUGGUCUGAGAGGAUGAUCAGUCACACUGGGACUGAGACACGGUCCAGACUCCUACGGGAGGCAGCAGUGGGGAAUAUUGGACAAUGGGCGAAAGCCUGAUCCAGCCAUGCCGCGUGUGUGAAGAAGGUCUUCGGAUUGUAAAGCACUUUAAGUUGGGAGGAAGGGCAGCUAGUUAAUACCUGGUUGUUUUGACGUUACCAACAGAAUAAGCACCGGCUAACUUCGUGCCAGCCGCCGCCGUAAAAC
rnacentral:rRNA from 1 species